rnacentral:rRNA from 1 species
AUUGAACGCUGGCGGCAGGCCUAACACAUGCAAGUCGAGCGGAUGAAGGGAGCUUGCUCCUGGAUUCAGCGGCGGACGGGUGAGUAAUGCCUAGGAAUCUGCCUGGUAGUGGGGGAUAACGUCCGGAAACGGGCGCUAAUACCGCAUACGUCCUGAGGGAGGAAGUGGGGGAUCUUCGGACCUCACGCUAUCAGAUGAGCCUAGGUCGGAUUAGCUAGUUGGUGGGGUAAAGGCCUACCAAGGCGACGAUCCGUAACUGGUCUGAGAGGAUGAUCAGUCACACUGGAACUGAGACACGGUCCAGACGCCUACGGGAGGCAGCAGUGGGGAAUAUUGGACAAUGGGCGAAAGCCUGAUCCAGCCAUGCCGCGUGUGUGAAGAAGGUCUUCGGAUUGUAAAGCACUUUAAGUUGGGAGGAAGGGCAGUAAGUUAAUACCUUGCUGUUUUGACGUUACCAACAGAAUAAGCACCGGCUAACUUCGUG